UUGGUUCCGAGGCUCUCGAGCAGCAGGAGA
rnacentral:misc_RNA from 1 species